rnacentral:rRNA from 1 species
UGACAAACCGGAGGAAGGUGGGGAUGACGUCAAAUCAUCAUGCCCCUUAUGAUUUGGGCUACACACGUGCUACAAUGGACGGUACAAAGGGUCGCUAAGCCGCGAGGCCAAGCAAAUCCCAUAAAGCCGUUCUCAGUUCGGAUUGUAGUCUGCAACUCGACUACAUGAAGCUGGAAUCGCUAGUAAUCGUAGAUCAGCAUGCUACG